UACGAAGGGGGCGAGCGUUGUUCGGAUUUACUGGGCGUAAAGGGCGCGCAGGCGGCCAUUCAAGUCAGGCGUGAAAGCCCCGGGCUUAACCUGGGAGGUGCGCUUGGGACUGGGUGGCUAGAGAUCGGGAGAGGAGAGUGGAAUUCCCAGUGUAGAGGUGAAAUUCGUAGAUAUUGGGAAGAACACCAGUGGCGAAGGCGGACUAACUGGUCCAGAUCGUGACGCUGAGGUGCGAAAGCGUGGGGAGCAAACAGG
rnacentral:rRNA from 1 species